ensembl:lncRNA
UUCACAUACGUAUUUACCAUAGACUGUGUAUAAUGGUAUUUACGCAGCUAAUCAUCGUCAGGCAUCCUGAGGUGGAAGCAAAUCAGACUCAUCAGAUUCUGAAUUUUAAAAGCUGCUGAAUUUCUUACUUUGAAUUUUUUUGCAUCAAAAUGACGUAUGUGAAUUUUUUAUGCCUGAAUUUAGCUCAUCAAAAUUCUAAAAACCAGUUAAAAAUUCAAUGUCUUCAAAAUUUGCCAUCAAAAAAAUUUGAUGUGUUCAAAAUUCACCAUCAAAAAAUUCAAUGUUCAAAAUUCGCCAUCAAAAAAUUCAAUGUUAAAAAAUUCGCUGUCAAAAAAUUCGCUGUUCACAUCCGGGGGACUCAGGCGUAAACAAUCGAUCCUGGCCAAAAUCGAACCAACGCCCAGCCAAUCACGUGGCGCUCCUCCGGUCAUGUGACGCAGACGGUUCACCUCACAAGACCGGGGUCAACCACGGCUACCAGCAUGAACGACAGCGCUUCAGUUUCCCAGAGACUAUGGGUUGAGGAGGAAUUGGAAGUUUGUCGGCUUAGACCUGGUGUCAUUCCAUCAGUGUUAAACUUCCCGGCUCAUCUUGGAAGAGUACGUGCCAGAAAGACCACGACCAAGCAGCCUUGAGAUCUUAGGCAGCGUCUCCCUGAGGUUCCUCUCUAUCUCCCCACACAUCCACCAACCACUGGAACACAUCUCCAAAGUUCUGCCGGGCCAGCUCAGCUUCCCCUCAGAAGAAGUGCUGCCACCUGCCAGAUGAAGGAGCCUUUUGAGAGGCAGCUGGCAUCGUGAUUGGACUGUACUUUGGUCUGUUCCAAUCCAGCUUCAGCUCCAGAGACGGCAGGCGGGACGAGUCAACGGAGGCCGAGUGGACGAAGGCAUGCAGCUGAGUACAAUCCAGAAAACAACAGAGGAGGAGUGCAGCAGCCCAGGACCAGAACAAACAGAGUAGCAUCGUAUGUCUCUUAGAAAACAUCAUAGUAUAGCCUUUGGGAUGAAAAAACGGCAUAAUAUACAUCGUAUAUUGUACAAAUAACAAGUCAAAGCAAAGAGACAUAUAUUGUAGAAUUGUAGUAAUUGUGGGCUGACUGAUUUACUGAUUAUCAGUAUUUUAUUUUUUACUGAUUUACGGUAAUAAAUACAUUUAAAAAUGGUGCUACUUUGGCUCUGAACCUUUAUCUACCUGUGGUCG